UCAAAGGAUAUGCAAAUAGGGCCCUCACUUCACUGAUAAAACCAGCCCAUCCCGACUCUGAUACUAGGAGAGGAGUCCCAACCCCAGGAUCCACAAGUGACCCUGCUUAGGGAUAAGGGUGGAGAACAGACGACUAAACAUGGAAUCUUUCCUUGGCUGGGUUUUCCUUGUCGCUAUUUUAAAAGGUGUCCAGGGUGAGGUGCAGCUGGUGGAAUCUGGGGGAGACCUGGUGAAGCCUGGGGGAUCCCUGAGACUCUCUUGUGUGGCCUCUGGAUUCACCUUCAGUAGCCAUGCCAAGAGCUGGGUCCGCCAGGCUCCAGGGAAGGGGCUGCAGUGGGUCGCAGUUAUUGGCAGUAGUGGAAGUAGCACAGGCUACGCAGACACUGUGAAGGGCUGAUUCACCAUCUCCAGAGACAAUGCCAAGAACACGCUGUAUCUGCAGAUGAACAGCCUGAGAGCUGAGGACACAGCCGUGUAUUACUGUGCGAAGGACACAGUGAGUCAACCUCAGUGUGAGCCCAGACAGAAACCUCUCUGUUAA